rnacentral:lncRNA from 1 species
AAGACCUGGAUGCUUCAUACUUUGUAUAUAGAUGCCUCAUGUUACGAAAUUUCUGUCAGUCACAUGUCCAAUGUCCUUGACCUCAUUUUCAUGGUUCAGUGACCACUUGAAAAAAAAAUUCAAUUUUUUUGUAAUGUUGAAUUCUCUCUUAUUAUAAGUAAUAGGAUAACUAUAUUUGAUAUGUGCGUACCUUGCAAGGUCCUCAUGUCUGUCAGACAGUUUUCACUUGACCUCAACCUCAUUUCAUGGAUCAGUGAACAAGGUUAAGUUUUGGUAGUCAAGUCCAUAUCUCAGAUACUAUAAGCAAUAGGGCUAGUAUAUUCGGUGUAUGGAAGGACUGUAAGGUGUACAUGUCCAACUGGCAUGUGUCAUCUGACCUUGACCUCAUUUUCAUGGUUCAGUGGUUAUAGUUAAAUUUUUGUGUUUUGGUCUGUUUUUCUCAUACUAUAUGCAAUAGGUCUACUAUAUUUGUUGUAUGGAAUGAUUGUAAGGUGUACAUGUCUAGCGGGCAGAUGUCAUGUGACCUUGACCUCAUUUUCAUGGUUCAGUGGUCAAAGUUAAGUUUUUGAGUUUUGGUCUUUUUAUCUUAUACUAUAUGCCAUAGGUCAACUAUUUUUGGUGUAUGGAAAUAUUUUAUGAUCUUUAUGUCAGUCGCGCAGGUUUUAUUUGAUCGUGACCUCAUUUUCACGGUUCAUUGCACAGAGUUAAGUUUUUGUGUUUUGGUCUAUUUUUCUUAAACUAUAAGUAAUAGGUCAACUAUAUAUGUUGUAUAGAAGCAUUGUUAGCUGUACAUGUCUGCCUGGCAUGGUUCAUCUGACCUUAACCUCAUUUUCAAGGUUCAUUGGUCUUUGUUUAGUUAUCUUGGUUAAUGUUGAGUUUAUGCGACAGUUGUUAUAAAGCUUAGAAGGCGAGACAUUUCAGCGUGUGCACUCUUGUUUC